CUGACCUGCAUUCGAUACGGUCGAGCUAGAGUGUGGUAGGGGAGACUGGAAUUCCUGGUGUAGCGGUGGAAUGCGCAGAUAUCAGGAGGAACACCGAUGGCGAAGGCAGGUCUCUGGGCCAUUACUGACACUGAGGAGCGAAAGCGUGGGGAGCGAACAGGAUUAGAUACCCUGGUAGUCCACGCCGUAAACGGUGGGCGCUAGUUGUGCGAACCUUCCACGGUUUGUGCGACGCAGCUAACGCAUUAAGCGCCCCGCCUGGGGAGUACGAUCGCAAGAUUAAAACUCAAAGGAAUUGACGGGGCCCCGCACAAGCAGCGGAGCAUGCGGCUUAAUUCGACGCAACGCGAAGAACCUUACCAAGGCUUGACAUAUACAGGAAUACGGCAGAGAUGUCGUAGCCGCAAGGUCUGUAUACAGGUGGUGCAUGGUUGUCGUCAGCUCGUGUCGUGAGAUGUUGGGUUAAGUCCCGCAACGAGCGCAACCCUCGUUCUGUGUUGCCAGCAUUUAGUUGGGGACUCACAGGAGACUGCCGGGGUUAACUCGGAGGAAGGUGGGGAUGACGUCAAAUCAUCAUGCCCCUUAUGUCUUGGGCUGCACGCAUGCUACAAUGGCUGGUACAAACGGCUGCAAUACCGCAAGGUGGAGCGAAUCCGAGAAAGCCAGUCUCAGUUCGGAUUGGGGUCUGCAACUCGACCCCAUGAAGUCGGAGUUGCUAGUAAUCGUAGAUCAGCAACGCUACGGUAAAUACGUUCCCGGGGCUUGUACACACCGCCCGUCACGUCACGAAAGUCGGUAACACCCAAAGUCAGUGGCCCAACCGUAAG
rnacentral:rRNA from 1 species